rnacentral:rRNA from 1 species
UGUCUAAGUAUGAGGAAUAAAUAAGACGAAACUGCGAAUGGCUCGGUAAAACAGCAAUAAUUUCUUCGGUCAUUUUACUACUCGGAUAACCGUAGUAAUUCUAGAGCUAAUACGUGCUAAUGUCGGGGAAACUCGUCGUGCCGAUUAGAUAACAACACCAACAUUUGGUGAUUCAUAAUCGUCUUUCAGAUCGUUACCUUGUGUGACGACAGACCGUUCAAAUUUCUGACCUAUCAACUUUCGAUGGUAAGGUAGUGUCUUACCAUGGUAGUGACGGGUAACGGACCGUGGGUGCGGGACUCCGGAGAGGGAGCCUGAGAAACGGCUACCACAUCCAAGGAAGGCAGCAGGCGCGCAAAUUACCCAAUUCAGACACUGAGAGGUAGUGACAAGAAAUAUCAAUAGGGGACCCUAUGGGUCUUCUAAUUGGAAUGAGAACAAGCUAAACAGCUUAUCGAGAAUCCAGCAGAGGGCAAGUCUGGUGCCAGCAGCCGCGGUAAUUCCAGCUCUGUAAGCGUAUACCAAAGUUGUUGCAGUUAAAACGCUCGUAGUCGGAUUUUGGUGACUUCGGAUGUGUGCGCGUCGAGCGCGCACUUCGCAGGAGUUGCUUUUGUGGGUUAUAGCAAAGGAUGAGGCACUUUAAUGUGAACGUCCCGCGCUGCCACUCUUUACUGUGAAAAAAAUAAAGUGCUCAAAGCAGGCAAUUGUCGUGAAUAUAUUAGCAUGGAAUAAUAGAAUAGGACUUUGUUCUAUUUUGUUGGUUUGUUGGAUCAAAGUAAUGAUUAAGAGGGACAGUUGGGGGCAUUUGUAUUACGGCGCUAGAGGUGAAAUUCUUAGAUUGCCGUAAGAC